rnacentral:rRNA from 1 species
UACGUAGGGGGCAAGCGUUGUCCGGAAUCAUUGGGCGUAAAGCGCGCGUAGGCGGCCCUGUAAGUCCGUUGUGAAAGUCAAAGGCUCAACCUUUGAAAGCCGAUGGAUACUGCAGGGCUAGAGUCCGGAAGAGGCGAGUGGAAUUCCUGGUGUAGCGGUGGAAUGCGCAGAUAUCAGGAAGAACACCCGUGGCGAAGGCGGUUCUCUGGGACGGUACCGACGCUGAGACGCGAAAGCGUGGGGAGCGAACAGG